GACGAACGCUGGCGGCGUGCUUAACACAUGCAAGUCGAACGAAGAGCGAUGGAAGCUUGCUUCUAUCAAUCUUAGUGGCGAACGGGUGAGUAACGCGUAAUCAACCUGCCCUUCAGAGGGGGACAACAGUUGGAAACGACUGCUAAUACCGCAUACGAUCUAAUCUCGGCAUCGAGGAUAGAUGAAAGGUGGCCUCUAUAUGUAAGCUAUCACUGAAGGAGGGGAUUGCGUCUGAUUAGCUAGUUGGAGGGGUAACGGCCCACCAAGGCGAUGAUCAGUAGCCGGUCUGAGAGGAUGAACGGCCACAUUGGGACUGAGACACGGCCCAGACUCCUACGGGAGGCAGCAGUGGGGAAUCUUCCGCAAUGGACGAAAGUCUGACGGAGCAACGCCGCGUGAGUGAUGACGGCCUUCGGGUUGUAAAGCUCUGUUAAUCGGGACGAAAGGCCUUCUUGCGAAUAGUGAGAAGGAUUGACGGUACCGGAAUAGAAAGCCACGGCUAACUACGUGCCAGCAGCCGCGGUAAUACGUAGGUGGCAAGCGUUGUCCGGAAUUAUUGGGCGUAAAGCGCGCGCAGGCGGAUAGGUCAGUCUGUCUUAAAAGUUCGGGGCUUAACCCCGUGAUGGGAUGGAAA
rnacentral:rRNA from 1 species